GGGGUGCAGCAGGCGCGAAAACUUUACAAUGCGGGAAACCGUGAUAAGGGGACACCGAGUGCCAGCAUCAUAUGCUGGCUGUCCAGGUGUGUAAAAUACACCUGUUAGCAAGGGCCGGGCAAGACCGGUGCCAGCCGCCGCGGUAACACCGGCGGCCCGAGUGGUGAUCGUGAUUAUUGGGUUUAAAGGGUCCGUAGCCGGUUUGGUCAGUCCUCCGGGAAAUUUGAUAGCUCAACUAUUAGGCUUUCGGGGGAUACUGCCAGACUUGGAACCGGGAGAGGUAAGAGGUACUACAGGGGUAGGAGUGAAAUCUUGUAAUCCCUGUGGGACCACCUGUGGCGAAGGCGUCUUACCAGAACGGGUUCGACGGUGAGGGACGAAAGCUGGGGGCACGAACCGGAUUAGAUACCCGGGUAGUCCCAGCCGUAAACGAUGCUCGCUAGGUGUCAGACAUGGCGCGACCGUGUCUGGUGCCGCAGGGAAGCCGUGAAGCGAGCCACCUGGGAAGUACGGCCGCAAGGCUGAAACUUAAAGGAAUCGGCGGGGGAGCAC
rnacentral:rRNA from 1 species